AUGAAGUGUUGAACAUGGGGUCUAAUAACGAAUCUGAUGAGAUAUACUCUGGCAGUGGAGGCCUGAAGAUUGAGAUAUCACCUGUGAAAAUAAUCACGAUGUCUCUUCAAGGUAAUGCAUCAGUGAAGGCAACUAUCUUGGGACAAAUCCUAACUACAGCAACUGGAAUUCUGCUUUUUUUCCUGUUUAGCAGCAUUGCUUAAAUAUACAUGUCAAAUUCCAGCAAUUGGAAUUCUAUUUUCUUUUCCUGUUUAGCAGUAUUGUUUAAAUAUACAUGCCAAAUUACACAUAAAAAUAAAGCAUAUUAAAGGCA